rnacentral:lncRNA from 1 species
UCCCUUUAUUCCUGUUAGUAAUAGAACGCCCGAAUCUUAGCUGGACACAUGGCUUCCAGCUAGAAACUACAUUUCUCAGGAGCCCUUGCAGCCAGGUGUGGCCACGUGACUAUGUCUGAGCCAAUGGGAUUCAAGCAAACAUGAGAGCAAUUCGGAGGUCAUCACCUUAAACACAAAGCCACUUGCCCUAGGCUUCCUCCUCCCCCUUCCGCAGGCUGGAACUCGGAGUGGAGGCAAGCAAGCUCCUACCAUGCGUGCAAGGACAACCCCUAGGAGACAGAGGAGCAAGAAGAUGGAUGGAAUCUAGGUUCCUGGACAACCUGAUGGAGCACAGAAAAAGGAACUGACACCUCACCCUACACGACCUUCUUCGCACCAUGUUUAAUUUUAAUCAAAGACUUGGGUCCACACAAAGUCUUGGCCUGGAUAAAAUGGAAUGACACACUAUAAAACCUUGUUAUAAGCGUUCCAUAAACCCCAAAGUCAUGCAACUGGUUACCGUAAAAUUAUUAUGUGCAGGGAGGGCAAACGGGGUAAUAGGGCACAUGUGUACGGUGACAGGUGGUAACCAGCCUUUGGGUGGUGAACACGAUGUAAACUACACAAAAAUCGAAAUAUAAUGAUGUACACCUGAAAUUUAUAUAAUGUUAUAAACCAAUGUUACCUCAAUUUACAAAAAUACAUGCAGGAAGGUAGCCAGCACAUUUAGAAACUUCACGCAAACAGAAAAAGGCACCCACUCUGAUAGACAAUUAGAAGGUGCACUGUCCUCCAGUGCACAGAGGAACAGAGCCUAGGCUGGAUUCAGAUCCCAGCCCCUCCGCCAGGCACAGCCUGCACAGCCAUACACAGCAGUUUACACACAAAAAAGAAAUGGGGGGGAGGGGAUCUUGUAUCUAGAUGAAUUUUAUAUAAAGUGAAGCCGGUGCGCCGAGGCAGUUUUCUGUUCGAGGAAAUCCUGCUGUGAACUCCUUCGUCACGUGGAGAAUGCUUCCUAAUGGAGGUCGUCACCACCCAGGCACUGCUGCGAAAUUCAGAUCCGUGAUUUGGCGAAAGUGAGAUCUGGCCGGAGAACUCAGAGAAAUUACAGACGCUGUUAAAUUACAAAGCACUCAGAGGCAAAGAGGAAAGAAAAGGCACAGGCGAUCGCCAGCAGGAUGGACGCUGGCAGUCUCCACCGGCUCCUAAUCACUAAUCGCGGCAUCCGCCCGCCUGUGGCCGUCACUGAGUCAACUGUACGUGCUCCCGGGGACAGGAAAUCUGCUUCCGUCCAACCGGGAAGCGAACGGACCAACGGACAACAAGGAACCAGCGGGAGGAGCUUCCCUGAGUUAGGGGACGGCUGCUGACAAACACGUGGAGACCACGCGGCCUCGCUCCCGCCCCGCCCCCCCCGUUGCCCUGACAACCGCGCCGGCGUCAGGUUGCGCUGAGGGCGCGCGGCCAGCCUCCCACAGUGCCCCGCGCGCGCGCAUGCGCCGGGGAGGCCCGCCGCGCAGGCCGUUUGGCUGGGCCCUGGCCGCGCAGCACCUCGCGGAGUCGGGAGGCGGGUGGGAGUGCGCCGGAGAGACGAGCCGCUCGCCACGCGCCGGCUUCGUGCUGGGCGCCCUCGGGGACUCCGGAGGAGACCCCGCCUUCCAGGUGCCAGAUCUGGGCCAUGGGCCAGAAGAUGCUAUGUGCUGCCCUCACAGAGCAGGAACUUGAAGUAAGGAAUUGGGAGCCUGCUCAAGAGAAUGGGCUAACCAGGAUGGCCCGACCUGAACCCGCGAGAACACAAGCUCAAGGGAGCACAGACAGCCCGUUGUGUUUAUCGCUGCCUCCCGGGUGCUCAGAACAAUCCCGAUACCUAGGACCAGUCAAUAACUAGGUGUCGAAUGAAUGAACAAGGGGCACGUGGUGUAUUUGGGUAAGCAAUAAAUAAG